AUAGCCUUUCGAAAGGAAGAUUAAUACCCCAUAAUAUAUUGAGUGGCACCAUUUGAUAUUGAAAACUCCGGUGGAUAGAGAUGGGCACGCGCAAGAUUAGAUAGUUGGUGAGGUAACGGCCCACCAAGUCAAUGAUCUUUAGGGGGCCUGAGAGGGUGAUCCCCCACACUGGUACUGAGACACGGACCAGACUCCUACGGGAGGCAGCAGUGAGGAAUAUUGGACAAUGGGUUAGCGCCUGAUCCAGCCAUCCCGCGUGAAGGACGACGGCCCUAUGGGUUGUAAACUUCUUUUGUAUAGGGAUAAACCUACUCUCGUGAGAGUAGCUGAAGGUACUAUACGAAUAAGCACCGGCUAACUCCGUGCCAGCAGCCGCGGUAAUACGGAGGGUGCAAGCGUUAUCCGGAUUUAUUGGGUUUAAAGGGUCCGUAGGCGGAUCUGUAAGUCAGUGGUGAAAUCUCACAGCUUAACUGUGAAACUGCCAUUGAUACUGCAGGUCUUGAGUAAAUUUGAAGUGGCUGGAAUAAGUAGUGUAGCGGUGAAAUGCAUAGAUAUUACUUAGAACACCAAUUGCGAAGGCAGGUCACUAAGAUUUAACUGACGCUGAGGACGAA
rnacentral:rRNA from 1 species